CAAGCCCAGCGUGGUGAUUUGCCGACCGGCUUGCGGCCACGAUAAACAAACCGCUAAAAGGUCGAGGCUCCGGCGCC
rnacentral:ncRNA from 2 species